rnacentral:rRNA from 1 species
UACAGGGGGUGCAAACGUUGCUCGGAAUUAUUGGGCGUAAAGCGCGCGUAGGCGGUGACUCAAGUCGGAUGUGAAAGCCCUUGGCUUAACCGAGGAAGUGCAUCCGAAACUGAGUCGCUAGAGUACGAUAGAGGGCCGCGGAAUUCCCGGUGUAGAGGUGAAAUUCGUAGAUAUCGGGAGGAACACCGGUGGCGAAGGCAGCCCCCCUGGGAUGUGACUGAUGCUCAUGUACGAAAGCGUGGGGAGCAAACAGG